rnacentral:rRNA from 1 species
GAGGAAUAUUGGUCAAUGGACGCAAGUCUGAACCAGCCACGUCGCGUGAAGGAAGACGGCCCUACGGGUUGUAAACUUCUUUUGCAAGGGAAUAAAGUGGGCCACGUGUGGCCUUUUGCAAGUACCUUGCGAAUAAGGAUCGGCUAACUCCGUGCCAGCAGCCGCGGUAAUACGGAGGAUCCGAGCGUUAUCCGGAUUUAUUGGGUUUAAAGGGUGCUCAGGCGGGACAUUAAGUCGGCGGUGAAAUUUUGCGGCUCAACCGUAAAAGUGCCUUCGAAACUGGUAUCCUUGAGUGUGGAUGAGGUAGGCGGAAUGAGACAAGUAGCGGUGAAAUGCAUAGAUAUGUCUCAGAACACCGAUUGCGAAGGCAGCUGUCUAAGCCGUUAUUGACGCUGAUGCACGAAAGCGUGGGGAUCGAACA